GUCCCUGAGUGUAUGUGGUGAACC
rnacentral:miRNA from 3 species